rnacentral:snRNA from 1 species
GGCUGUGAGGGCCAUCUGGCUGCGACAUCUGUCGCCCCAGUGAGCGUCAGGGUUGGUUCGGCAGCUCUGGCUGGCCAGGUGGGGCGCCCUUCCUCGCUCGGGGCUCUGUGUCACCCCUCCCUUCCGAAGCUGUGUGCUCUGUGGAAGAGGACCAGGGCCUUUCCUCCGUCAGGGGCGCAGGAGCAGCAGCAGUCCCUGCUAGAACCGCCAAACAAGCUCCAAGAACAGCUCCGAAAGUGUGUUGUGAGGAACAGUAAUGUUCAAGAGAGGGGUUUAAUGGUCAAGUUCUUUUGGAAAGCACUU